GACGAACGCUGGCGGCGUGCCUAAUACAUGCAAGUCGAACGAGAGCGCCCGGUGCUUGCACUGGUCAAUCUAGUGGCGAACGGGUGAGUAACACGUGGGUAACCUGCCCAUCAGAGGGGGAUAACAUUCGGAAACGGAUGCUAAAACCGCAUAGGCCUUCGAACCGCAUGGUUUGAAGAGGAAAAGAGGCGCAAGCUUCUGCUGAUGGAUGGACCCGCGGUGCAUUAGCUAGUUGGUGAGGUAACGGCUCACCAAGGCCGUGAUGCAUAGCCGACCUGAGAGGGUGAUCGGCCACAUUGGGACUGAGACACGGCCCAAACUCCUACGGGAGGCAGCAGUAGGGAAUCUUCCGCAAUGGACGCAAGUCUGACGGAGCAACGCCGCGUGAGUGAAGAAGGUGUUCGGAUCGUAAAACUCUGUUGUUAGAGAAGAAUAAGUGCUAGAGUAACUGUUAGCGCCUUGACGGUAUCUAACCAGAAAGCCACGGCUAACUACGUG
rnacentral:rRNA from 1 species